rnacentral:rRNA from 1 species
AAGGAAUAUUGCUCAAUGGGAGAAAUCCUGAAGCAGCAACGCCGCGUGGAGGAUGAAGGGUCUAUGACUUGUAAACUCCUGUAAAGAAGGAAAAAAUUCCCAUUUGAUGGGAGAUGAUGGUACUUCUGGAGUAAGCCCCGGCUAACUACGUGCCAGCAGCCGCGGUAAUACGAAGGGGGCUAGCGUUGCUCGGAAUUACUGGGCGUAAAGCGCACGUAGGCGGACUCUUAAGUCGGUGGUGAAAUCCUGGAGCUCAACUCCAGAACUGCCUUCGAUACUGGGAGUCUUGAGUUCGGGAGAGGUGAGUGGAACUGCGAGUGUAGAGGUGAAAUUCGUAGAUAUUCGCAAGAACACCAGUGGCGAAGGCGGCUCACUGGCCCGAUACUGACGCUGAGGUGCGAAAGCGUGGGGAGCAAACA